UCCCCGCCUAUAUACCACCCGUCAUCAGCUUACCCUGUGAAGGGAAAAUAGUAAGCAUAAAUGGCAAAGCCAAAAACGUCAGGUCGAGGUUUCCGUAUGUGAUGGGAAGAAAUGGGCUCCAUUCUCUGAUACAGACAAUACGAGAAUUGUAAUUUGAAAAAAAUUACCUGAAGGAGGAUUUAGCAGUAAGUAGGGACUAGAGUGCCCUGCUGAAAACA
rnacentral:rRNA from 1 species